rnacentral:rRNA from 1 species
UCCGCGCGGUCCAGUCCGAGAUGGCACCGUCUGGGCGAAAGGGAAUCCGGUUCCUAUUCCGGAACCAGGCAGCGGAACCGCUCCAAUUCGGGCCCUCAUCCGAGGACUCGUCGGGGUGACCCGAAAUGACCCGGAGAAGCCGUAGGGAGGUCCGGGGAGAGUUGUCUCUUCUCUAUAAGCGUUCGAGUUCCCUGGAAUCCUCUAGGAGGGAGAUAGGGUUUGGAACGCGAAGAGCACCGCACUUACGGCGGUGUCCGGAUCUUCCCCUCGGACCUUGAAAAUCCGGGCGAGGGCCACGAGGAACACCGCGCCUGCUCGUACCCAUAUCCGCAGCAGGUCUCCAAGGUGAAUAGCCUCUAGUCGAUAGAAUAAUGUAGGUAAGGGAAGUCGGCAAAUUCGAUCUGUAACUUCGGGAUAAGGAUUGGCUCUGAGGAUCGUGGCGCGCCGGGCUUGGUCGGGAAGUGGAGCGGUGCCAACGUGCCGGGCCUGGGCGAGGUGAAGGGCGCUCGUCGCCUGGACCCUAGCUCGGUCCCGUGCCUUGGCCACCCACGGACCUUCCUUGCUGCGAGCCUCCCGGCUGUCUAGUUUCCGGCUACGCCGGAGGACGGGCCGGAAGGCUCUUCGGC